AUGAACAUUCAAGUAAAAGAAUAUAAGGCAGAGAACUCAGGUAAUUUAAUAGCAAGACUCAAGGUCAGUGGUCUGAAAUUCUGGACCUGUUCAGAGAUAACCAGAGUGGACGUGAACUUUAAAGCAACACCCAGGAAACAGAAGUCUACUGAAUACAAGAUACUUGUCUUUGCUGGUGUCUCAUCGUUACUUGUAGCAAAUUUCGAGUAUGUGUUAAUUGCGAUUGGCAAUGAAGAACCGCUGUCUUUGUCAGGCAAGUGGUGUGAAUGGGGCUUGAAGAAAGGUGGCGUUGGGAAAAUGGCUAAUCAGCAGCACAUUCACCAGGUGAAGGAAAUUUUAAAGUGCACGGUGGAACUUUCUAGAGGCCACAUGAUAUAUGAUGGUGCCAUCACUCCAACAACUAACAAAAAGCAAUAUGCAGGAGUAAACGUGAUGCUAGCCAUCCCUAGGAGGAUGGCAUUUCUCUUGGCCAAACUCCUUCCUGUUGGAAAAAGCAAAACCAGCAAACCAGCUGCACAAGGCCCACGUGGAAGCGCUACAUCUAAGGGACCUGCAGUUGGCAUUGAUCUUGGCACCACCUCCUAUUGUGUGGGUGUCUUCCAGCACGGGAAAGUGGAAAUAAUUGCCAACGAUCAGGGAAACUGAACCACCCCAAGUUGUCACUUUUACUGACAUCAAACGAUUGAUCAGCAAUGCUGCAAAGAAUGAAGUUGCAGUGAACCCCACCAACACAGUUUUUGAUGUCAAAUGCCUGAUCGGACAUAAAGUCGUUGAUGCUCUUGUCCAAUCUGAUAUGGAGCAUUGGCUCUUCAUGGUGGGGAAUGAUGCUGGCAGGCCCAAGGUCUAAGUAAAAUACAAGGGAAAGAAGAGGUGUCCUCUGUGGUUUUGACAAAGAUGAAGGAAAUCACAGAGGCUUAGACAGAAAGGUUGGAGCUGAAAGGAAUGUGCUCAUCUUUGACGUAGGAGGUGGCACUUUUGAUGUCUCAAUCCCCACCAUUGGAAUGGGAUAUUUAAGGUCAAAUCUACAGCUGGAGACACCCACUUAGGUGUAGAAGACUUUGACAACCGAAUGGUCAAUCAUUUUAUUGUGAAGUUCAAGGGCAAACAUAAGAAGGACAUCCACAAGAACAAGAGGGCAGUCCAUCACCUCCAGACUGCUUACGAGUGUGCUAAGCAUACAUUGUCUUCCAGCAACCAGGCCAGUAUUGAGAUUGAUGCUCUGUAUGAAGGAAUUGACUUCCAUACCUCUAUGACUUGUCCCCGAUUUGAAGAAUUAAAUGCUGACCUGUUCUGUGGCACCCUGGACCUUAUAGAGAAAGCCCUUUGGGAUGCCAAGCUAUACAAGUGUCAGAUCAAUGAUAUUGUCCUGGUGGGUGGUUCUAUCCAUAUCCCCAAGAUUCAGAAACUUCUGCAAGACUUCUUCAAUGGAAAGGAACUGAACAAGAGCAUCAGCCCUGAUGAGGCUGUUGCUUAUGGUGCAGCUGUCCAGACAGCCAUCCCUUCUGGAGACAAAUCUGAAAAUGUUCAGGAUUCCCUGCUGUUGGAUGUCACUCCUCUUUCUCUUGGCUUUGAAACUGCUGGAGGAGUCAUGACUGUCCUCACCAAGUACAAUACUACCAUUCCUACCAAACAGAUGCAAACCUUCCCUACCUACUCUGACAACCAGCCUGGUGUGCUCGUUCAGGUUUAUGAAGGUAAGCGUGCCAUAACCAUGGAUAACAACCUACUUGGGUUUGAACUCAUAGGCAUACCUCCUGCCCCCCGUGGUGCUCCUUCUAUUGAAGUCACCUUUGAUAUUGAUGCUAAUGGCAUCCUCAGUGUCUCUGCUAUGGAUAAGAGUUCAGGAAUAAAACUGCAAUAA